rnacentral:rRNA from 1 species
GAUGAACGCUGGCGGCGUGCCUAAUACAUGCAAGUCGAGCGAACAGACGAGGAGCUUGCUCCUCUGACGUUAGCGGCGGACGGGUGAGUAACACGUGGAUAACCUACCUAUAAGACUGGGAUAACUUCGGGAAACCGGAGCUAAUACCGGAUAAUAUAUUGAACCGCAUGGUUCAAUAGUGAAAGACGGUUUUGCUGUCACUUAUAGAUGGAUCCGCGCCGCAUUAGCUAGUUGGUAAGGUAACGGCUUACCAAGGCAACGAUGCGUAGCCGACCUGAGAGGGUGAUCGGCCACACUGGAACUGAGACACGGUCCAGACUUCUACGGGAGGCAGCAGUAGGGAAUCUUCCGCAAUGGGCGAAAGCCUGACGGAGCAACGCCGCGUGAGUGAUGAAGGUCUUCGGAUCGUAAAACUCUGUUAUUAGGGAAGAACAAAUGUGUAAGUAACUAUGCACGUCCUGACGGUACCUAAUCAGAAAGCCACGGCUAACUACGUG